UAGUUUUACUCUGGUAUUUGUAGUUAGUAACACACAAUAACCACAACAUUUACCAGGAUUUUACCACAGUAACUGUGUUUUUACUCUACACUAUUUGUAAAACACUGUAACCACUAAGUUUGCCACGCCUUUAAUACCUUUUUGUGAAGUAAUUGUAAUUCAGUGUUUUUUCUGUCUUGCAGUUACGUCGGAUUACAUACUCCACAACAACCUGUAAUCCAGCAGCUCUUUAAAGAAGCCAUCUCUUGUAAAAUCUCUCUCUCUCUCUCUCUCUCUCUGCUAGAAUUAACAGGGAACCUCAACUCGCUGAUUUUGAAGAAGCUGUCAAGGGGGCUGAACAAGUCCUUCAAAGGUUCAACCCUUCACAGGAAGGCCUGUCAUGAGAUUUAAAUUUGACCAUCUUGUGCAUAUAUGAAGAAGACCAAAAGCUGCAAAGGCAAACACUUCCAAUGGAUUUCUCACAGAUUACUUAAUCAUUCUUCAUCAGCUCUUCA